AUUGAACGCUGGCGGCAGGCCUAACACAUGCAAGUCGAACGAGUGGCGGACGGGUGAGUAAUGUCUGGGAAACUGCCUGAUGGAGGGGGAUAACUCCUGGAAACGGUAGCUAAUACCGCAUACCAUCAGAUGUGCCCAGAUGGGAUUAGCUCGUUGGUGGGGUAACGGCUCACCAAGGCGACGAUCCCUAGCUGGUCCGAGAGGAUGACCAGCCACACGGGAAAUGAGACACGUGACAGACUCCUACGGGAGGCAUCAGUGGGGAAUAGUGCAUAAUGUGCGCAAGCCUGAUGCAGCCAUGCCGCGUGUAUGAAGAAGGCCUUCGGGUUGUAAAGUACUUUCAGCGGGGAGUCGUUACCCGCAGAAGAAGCACCGGCUAACUCCGUGCCAGCCGCCGCGGUAAUAC
rnacentral:rRNA from 1 species